AACGAACGCUGGCGGCAGGCUUAACACAUGCAAGUCGAACGCAUCCUUCGGGGUGAGUGGCAGACGGGUGAGUAACGCGUGGGAACGUGCCCUUCAGUUCGGGAUAACCCAGGGAAACUCGGGCUUAUACCGGAUACGUGCGAGAGCAGAAAGAUUUAUCGCUGAAGGAUCGGCCCGCGUCUGAUUAGCUAGUUGGUGGGGUAAUGGCCCACCAAGGCGACGAUCAGUAGCUGGUCUGAGAGGAUGAUCAGCCACAUUGGGACUGAGACACGGCCCAAACUCCUACGGGAGGCAGCAGUGGGGAAUAUUGGACAAUGGGCGCAAGCCUGAUCCAGCCAUGCCGCGUGAGUGAUGAAGGCCUUAGGGUUGUAAAGCUCUUUCGUCCGGGACGAUAAUGACGGUACCGGAAGAAGAAGCCCCGGCUAACUUCGUGCCAGCCGCCGCGGUAACAC
rnacentral:rRNA from 1 species